rnacentral:rRNA from 1 species
AAAUAGAACUUUGCAGAGAGAGUUAACAGGGCGUGAAACCGUUAAUUGGCAAACGAAUCGGAGCCACGAAGUCGUUUCGUUGUAGUCGGGGCCCAGUUCAGCUUGGAAGGAAACUUUCUGGUGUAUUCUGGGUUCGGCCACUCUGUAAGCGUACACUGCAACCAGUUAGACGAUUGGCGAUGGGCCCAGUCACUAGGGUUAGUAGUAGUAGAGCGGGACUUGUCCUGUUUUGCUGCUGGGCUCUAGCGGGUGAACUAUCACCAAAAACUGACUGGCAAAAUGAAAAUCGCCGAAAGGCGUUUCCUUAGAAAGCGGCGCUUGCAUUGGCGUUUACACAUUAGACCGUGAGGUUUAAGCUCAGCAUCUUUGAAUUUGGACUUGCUGGCUACCAAUGGGGCAACUCUUGGUGCCAGUAUAGCUUUCAUCUAAUCGGGUGUUGACUUGAUUUUGCGUCGUUCUGGUGUGCUACGAUUGAACGUCAAUGUAAUGUAACUCGCAAUCUUAUUGGCAGUGAGUAGGUCGGCUUUCCGAAC